rnacentral:rRNA from 3 species
GGACUACUGGGGUAUCUAAUCCCGUUCGCUCCCCUAGCUUUCGCGCCUCAGCGUUAGAAAAGGUCCAGCACGUCGCUUUCGCCACCGGCGUUCCUUCCGAUAUCAACGCAUUUCACCGCUCCACCGGAAGUUCCACAUGCCCCUACCUCCCUCAAGACUAUCAGUAUCAAAGGCAAUUUUCCGGUUAAGCCGAAAGAUUUCACCCCUGACUUGAUAGCCCGCCUACGCGCCCUUUAAGCCCAGUGAUUCCGAACAACGUUUGCACGGUUCGUCUUACCGCGGCUGCUGGCAC